UACGGAGGGUGCAAGCGUUGUUCGGCAUUAUUGGGCGUAAAGCGCGUGUAGGCGGUCUGUUAAGUCUGAUGUGAAAGCCCCGGGCUCAACCCGGGAAGUGCAUUGGAAACUGGCAGACUUGAGUACGGGAGAGGGUAGUGGAAUUCCGAGUGUAGGGGUGAAAUCCGUAGAUAUUCGGAGGAACACCGGUGGCGAAGGCGGCUACCUGGACCGAUACUGACGCUGAGACGCGAAAGCGUGGGGAG
rnacentral:rRNA from 1 species